UGCUUUUCUUGGAGAUCUUACAGUCUAUAAAUGUAGCCACACUAGAAUCUAUCCCAAUUUUUGCGAACCUUAUAUAUGAUUACUGCCAUUAGAGUCACUAAAACAAUAUCCAAAUGUUACUGUGUUCACACAAGCAAGCAGUUCCCAAAUGAAAAGUGCCCAUGCAUCAUCAGUAAACCAGUCAAAUUGGCAAUAGAAUAAAAGAUUUCGAUGGUAAAUUCCACUCACCAGAUAAAUCUAUGGAUACAUCAU
rnacentral:misc_RNA from 1 species